GUAGGUCCCGAGCGUUGUCCGGAUUUAUUGGGCGUAAAGGGAGCGCAGGCGGUUUAGUAAGUCUGAAGUUAAAGGCAUUGGCUCAACCAAUGUAUGCUUUGGAAACUGUUAGACUUGAGUGCAGAAGGGGAGAGUGGAAUUCCAUGUGUAGCGGUGAAAUGCGUAGAUAUAUGGARGAACACCGGUGGCGAAAGCGGCUCUCUGGUCUGUCACUGACGCUGAGGCUCGAAAGCGUGGGUAGCGAACAGGAUUAGAUACCCUGGUAGUCCACGCCGUAAACGCUGAGUGCUAGGUGUUAGGUCCUUUCCGGGACUUAGUGCCGACGCUAACGCAUUAAGCACUCCGCCUGGGGAGUACSACCGCMAGGUUG
rnacentral:rRNA from 1 species